rnacentral:lncRNA from 1 species
UAAUUCAUCUCAUACCUAGAAAUGAUUUGGUUAAUCCCUCAUUGAGCACAAAUGAAUAAGAAAUUGUAGUGAUACACUCCAUUAUUCAGGUAAUGAAUUUCUGAGGGAAUCCCAAUUCUGCCAUCAUACUCUUUAGGAAACACCAUUCAACAGAGUCAUAUUCUUUCAUCAAAUCAACUUUCAAGACACAUCUAGGUGAGAUUCUUUCAUAAAGUACCACUUUAUCAAUUCAUGACUAAAUAAAAUAUUAUCAAUAAUAGAGCUUCCUUCAAUGAAAGCUGAUUGGGAUGGGCUAAUAUAAUAAUAUUCGUUACUAUCCUCUAUGUCCAGACCUCUAUAAUGAUGAUUUUUUAGACAAUAUUACAAUAGGCAAUAGGUCUAUAGUCUUUGACCACAACAGGGGAAGACACCUUUGGCACAAAAGUUACUGCAAUACAACUAAAUGACUUUAGGAAUUUACCUGAGUGGAAAAAUUCUUGUACACACAAGAUCACAUCUGCUUUAACAGUGUUUCAUAGGCUAGUGUAGAAUUCAAUAAGGAAGUCAUCCACUUCUGGUGCUUUAUCAAUAAACAUAUCCUUAAUUCCUUCUCUGUGACCUUAUAGAUAAGAACAAUUUUUUGUUGAGUAGAUAGGCAAUGACCUCUUUGAUCACCACUGAGUUUGGGCAUGGAACUUUAUUUGUUGCAGAGCCCAACAAUUUGGAAAAGAAUUUGACAAAUGCUCAGCUAGCCUUGGGUCUGAUAUCUUCACUCCUUGAUCAUCAUAGACAAAUUUGAUAGCAUUUCUAUUAGCUCUAAUCCUGCAUUACCAUAAAAAAUAUUUAGAAUUUGAAUCACCAAAGACAACCUAAGUAGCUCUAGUUUUUGUCAUAGUGCUUGCUCUUCUACUAAGCGCCACUAGUGUAGGUCAUGUAUGAGAACAUCAUGUUCCUCCUCUAUCAAAAACUGGUUUAGAGGACUAGUAGCCAACAUGUCUUGUGUAACCUCUAGCUUUUGUCUAAUUUGUUGCAGAUGCCUAACAUAGGAAGCCAGAUGCGUAUUGAGAUCAUUUAGGUUACUCUUCAAUUUCAUGAAGAUUCACAUUCAAGAUUAUUUUUGUUUUUAUUCAUCAUAUUGAUGAUUUGUGAAUGAACUAAUAUGUAAUAAAAAAAAGUAUAUGAAGGUAAGAAAUAUUUUAAUUCUCAAGUCUUUCUUUUCAUUUUUAUGUAGUUAGACGUGCUUUUUUAAUGUUUUAUUUACGUAUGUAUUAUCAUCCUUCAAUCCCCCCAAACAAGCAAAAUUAAGAAAAUUUUCGUAAAAAUGAACAAUGUGUUGCCACUAUGUGAUUGUUCUCUUUAAAAGUCAUUUUGUGGUUGACACUAACUUUAUAAUCAUAUUAAACUAUAAUAUUUGUUAGAUUUCAAGUGAUGCAUGAUUAUUUAUUGCAAGUACAAUUGAAAAUAUAAUUUACAAAUAUAUUAUAUAGUUUAGAUUUCUUUCUUUUUCUGAUAUAAUUAUUUUUUGAUUGAUAUAAUAUUUUAUUUAUUCAUAAUUAUGUUUAAAAAAAUUAUUCAAUUGGUAGCAUAUGAUGAGGAGUUUGACAUGGGGAGCAAAAUAUGGUGACAAAGCGACUUGCAAAGGAAGAUGUUUGAAGAAACACAUUUUUGAAGUAUAAUUAAGAAUUUCUUUUUACUUUGAAUUGUAUUAGUAACUUAGCUACUUUUGUUAGAAGUUUUCCAAACUUUUGCUUGUAUUAUUAACUUAACUACAUGUAUUGACAAUGCUACUCAUUUGGUCAUCUACUAUCCAACUCUUUUUGUUAUGAAACACAAUUAAUAUAAUUAUGUUAUCUCAAUCAAAAGAAUUAUGAUGAGG